rnacentral:sRNA from 1 species
UGUGAAUCAAACUUGUUGCUUCGGGGGCGACCCUGCCGACGAACUCGUCGCCGGGUGCCCCCGCAGUUCUUCUAAACACUGCAUCUUUGCGUCUGAGAUUAUACAAAUUAAACAAAACUUUCAACAACGGAUCUCUUGGUUCUGGCAUCGAUGAAGAACGCAGCGAAAUGCGAUAAGUAAUGUGAAUUGCAGAAUUCAGUGAAUCAUCGAAUCUUUGAACGCACAUUGCGCCCUUUGGUAUUCCGAAGGGCAUGCCUGUUCGAGCGUCAUUUCACCACUCAAGCCUGGCUUGGUAUUGGGCGUCGCGGUUAUUCGCGCGCCUUAAAGUCUUCCGGCUGAGCUGUCCGUCUCUAAGCGUUGUGGAUUUUUCAAUUCGCUUCGGAGUGCGGGCGGCCGCGGCCGUUAAAUCUUUAUUCAAAGGUUGACCUCGGAUCA